UCGAGGAUCUUCGGCAAUGGGCGCAAGCCUGACCGAGCGACGCCGCGUGUGCGAUGAAGGCCUUCGGGUUGUAAAGCACUGUCGAGGGGGAUAAAGGCGCGCAAGCGCUUGAUAGAUCCCUGGAGGAAGCACGGGCUAAGUUCGUGCCAGCAGCCGCGGUAAGACGAACCGUGCAAACGUUGUUCGGAAUCACUGGGCUUAAAGGGCGCGUAGGCGGGGUCGCAAGUCUGUGGUGAAAUCCGUCGGCUCAACCGGCGAACGGCCGUGGAUACUGCGACCCUCGAGGGGUGUAGGGGCAUGCGGAACUUCCGGUGGAGCGGUGAAAUGCGUAGAUAUCGGAAGGAACGCCGGUGGCGAAAGCGGCGUGCUGGACACCUACUGACGCUGAGGCGCGAAAGCCAGGGGAGCGAACGG
rnacentral:rRNA from 1 species